ensembl:lncRNA
AAGGCAGAGUCUGUGUGGACGGGCCCAGGGGCUGCACAGCUCCAGUGCUCUCUCUGCUUCUAACGUGUGCUGAGCCCUGCUCUGCUCUGCUGUGCGCUCCACUACGCUCUACGCUGCUAGCCUGUGUGACUGGCUGUCUGCGCUCAGCUGAGAAAGAGAGAGAGAAAGGGAGAGCAACUACUACUGCUACAGAUGUGAGGCUUUCCCCAGUGCUGGCUAUACUAUACCGCUCCUGAGGCCGAUCCUCGGGGCUGUUUGGAGCUCAUCUCUGUAAAUAAGACAGAGGGAGAGAGAGAGACAGAGUGAAGAGGGAAAGGAGACAGUCUGCAUGCGUUCCUCAUCUGCAGCCCAGUGACAGCAGCUUUGAUGACAGUGCAUGGCGACUCCUGUACCCCUGCCCUUUAGCAUUCAGCCUCCGUGCAGCGGUGUACGUCUCAUUUCCGUUGCUGCAUGUAGCUCUAAACGGCCAAGGAUAUGAGAAGAAAGAGAUAUGUUAUGUGAACCAUGUGUGACUCCCGACGCAGAUGGAAUGAAGGGCAAAAAAUAGGGGAGCUCAAAGGAUGCUGCGCCCCUCCGCCUUUCCAUCACUCCAUUCCUCCAUCUCUCCUUACCUUCAGCUAUACAUCUCUCCAUUCCUUCAUCACUCCAUUCCUCCAUCUCUCCUUACCUUCAGCUAUACAUCUCUCCAUUCCUUCAUCACUCCAUCACUUCCUUACCUUCAGCUAUACAUCUCUCCAUUACUCCAUCACUCCUUACCUUCAGCUAUACAUCUCUCCAUUACUCCAUCACUCCUUACCUUCAGCUAUGCAUCUCUUUCAGGCUGAAGCUGAAAUGCCUGUUACCUAGAUGCUAACUGGCGAUCUAUAAUUAAUAAUAAUUUGAUGGGUGCUUAUACGCAUGUGUGAAAUGGAAAUGUGUUGUUUUUGCAUAUCCCAACUCCCCCUGAGACACCUUUGGAGAACUGUUCUGAUCAUUGAGUCCUACUGCUUAAAUACAGAUAACUGUCAAAAUAAAUUAAAUGAGGGAUACAAAGUAUACCGAAAGGGUGUGUGUGUGUGUGUGAGAUUCUUAUGGGAGAUUCUGGAGCGUGCCUGAGACAGUGUUUUCGACCACCAUCAACAAACACCAAAUGAUGGAAUUUCUCAUGGAAGUUCCAGACACUUGAAUCAAUGCCAAGGCACAUUGAAGAUGUUCUGGCAGCUCGUGGUGGCCCAACGCCCUAUUAAGACACUAUGUUGGUGUUGACUUCAUUUUGGCAGUUACAGUACCUGUAGAUAGACACACAUUUGUCCCGUGGUUCAGUAGGUCGAGGUUGGCCCUUGCAACGCCAGGGUUGUGGGUUCAAUUCCCACGGGGGACCAGCACAAAGAUGUAUGAAAAUGUAUGUACUCACUAGUGUAAGUUGCUCUGGAUAAGAGUGUCUACUAGACUAAAAUGUGAAUGUGAUAUAGAUAAGGUGUUGAUCUCUAUUUGGCUUUACUUACUCUCUUUAGGUCACACAGAAACCCAGUUGCGCUCUCUUUUCUUUAGGGCCCAGUGUUAUGAUAUUGGGACGCAACGUACUUUCGUAGGAGUAGCCUAUACAGUAUCUCUACUUGCACACUCAUCUUCUGCACAUUUAUCACUCCAGUGUUUAAUUGCUAUAUUGUAAUUAUUUAGCCACUAUGGCCUAUUCAUUGCCUUAUACCUCCCUUAUCCUACCUCAUUUGCACACACUGUAUAUAUACUUUUUCUAUUGUAUUAUUGACUAUGUUUGUGAUUCCAUAUGUACCUCUGUGCUGUUGUUUGUGUCACACUGCUUUGUUUUUAUCUUGGCCAGGUUGCAGUUGUAAAUGAGAACAUGUUCUCAACUGGCCUACCUGGUUAAAUAAAGGUGAAAUAAGAAAAAUUCAAACAGCAAAAAAGAGUAGCCUAUACAGUGAUGAGUCUUCACACAUGACGAUGAAAUCCAUGCUGGUUAACGCUCUCUGACUUGUUAUUCAGUCUUCCGUUGGGAUUCAUUCCAACACUUUCCCGAUGUUCAUACAAAUCAUAUUCACAGUAAAUGUUGCUAAUGUCAUUUACAAUCAAGUACAAUCACCACAAUAGCAGUGCACAGGUCAUGUAUCUGCAUUUGAAGAGUUUGGUCAAUUUGUUUUUAUUGUUUAAAGAACUUGUGAAGAGAUUGGUGUGUUUUUUCACUAUCUAAUCAAUGACAGACAUGUAUUUGUUUAAACUCUAUCACUCGAUGGUUUCAUUUCAGAUGAGACAAAUAAUCAUGGUUUUUUUUGCAAAAUGCUAUAUAUCUGCCUCACUAUCGGAGAAAUGAGUAGUACAGCUAGGUUUUAC